UACGGGGGGGGCAAGCGUUGUUCGGAAUUACUGGGCGUAAAGGGCUCGUAGGCGGCCAACUAAGUCAGACGUGAAAUCCCUCGGCUUAACCGGGGAACUGCGUCUGAUACUGGAUGGCUUGAGUUUGGGAGAGGGAUGCGGAAUUCCAGGUGUAGCGGUGAAAUGCGUAGAUAUCUGGAGGAACACCGGUGGCGAAAGCGGCUCUCUGGUCCGGACCUGACGCUGAGGCGCGAAAGCGUGGGGAGCAAACAGG
rnacentral:rRNA from 1 species